rnacentral:lncRNA from 1 species
AGUUACAUAAUUCAGGCUCCUGUUUUUUUGGUGUAGGUUCCAGGGUGGUGUUAUAGCGUCAGCACCGACAACACCACAGUCCGGCAGCAGAAACACAUGUGCCAUAAAGAGUAUUUUCCACUCCAUUGAAUGACCAGUCUACUUCAUGCAGAUCUAAGCAGAAUUUGGGGGGAUUUUGGCUGGCUGUGACAAUUUCAGUUUCUCACAAGAAAACAUCCAGAGACCUCCAGUCAAUGAACAGAGCUACUUUUUCAGUGCUGACUUCUCUACCGAGGCUUUAAGUUUUUUGGAGUCUGGAUUAAAAGAUGUGAGCACCUAAAAAAACCUGAAACAGAGAAAUAAAUAAAGUCACCUCAGUGCUUCA